AACGAACGCUGGCGGCAUGCUUAACACAUGCAAGUCGAACGCUUCUUCGGGUUUCGGCCCGGGGAGGAGUGGCGCACGGGUGAGUAGCGCGUGGGAACCUGCCCUCUUGUGGGGGAUAAC
rnacentral:rRNA from 1 species